rnacentral:rRNA from 1 species
AGCUAUAUGAAUUUAUGUAUAGUUUUUUCUGCCCAGUGAUAUUUUAACGGCCGCAGUACUUUGACUGUGCUAAGGUAGCAUAAUCAAUUGACUUUUAAUUGGAGUCUGGAAUGAAUGGAAGAAUGGGAAGUAACUGUUUCUUGAAAAAUUUAUUGAAAUUACUAUAAAGGUGAAAAUACCUUUUUUAAAAAAAAAGACGAGAAGACCCUUAGAGUUUUUUUGUUGGGGUGACAUAUAAGCUAACCUUAUUUUAUGGAAGAAUAAACUACCUAAGGGAUAACAGCAUAAUUUUUUUUUAAGAUUGUGACCUCGAUGUUGGACUAGGAAAUUAAUAAUUAGAAAUUAAAAUUUAUAGUUCUGUUCGAACUUUUUCUCCU